rnacentral:rRNA from 1 species
UUCGUAGGUGAACCUUGCGG